UCCCAAAUUUUUUUAGUAGAAUUGUAUGUAGAAAUAUGAUUAAAUUUAUUUGCAUCUAAAGCACAAUAUAAAAUAUCCAUGGCUUUAGCAUUGAGCUGAGCCAUUUUCUUAUCAAAUUCAUCCCAUUCACCUUCUGGCUUAGGGAGAGAUACACCAUCAAUCAAUUUAGUGGGUGUGUGUGGUCCAUUUACUAUGAUACUCUAUGUAUCAUAGUCAAGUGCUUGAAUAAAAAUUCUCAUUCGAGCUUUUCAAUAGGUGUAGUUUGAUCCAUUGAAAAGUG
rnacentral:lncRNA from 1 species